GACGAACGCUGGCGGCGUGCCUAAUACAUGCAAGUAGAACGCUGAAGAGAGGAGCUUACUCUUCUUGGAUGAGUUGCGAACGGGUGAGUAACGCGUAGGUAACCUGCCUUGUAGCGGGGGAUAACUAUUGGAAACGAUAGCUAAUACCGCAUAACAAUGGAUGACACAUGUCAUUUAUUUGAAAGGGGCAAUUGCUCCACUACAAGAUGGACCUGCGUUGUAUUAGCUAGUAGGUGAGGUAAUGGCUCACCUAGGCGACGAUACAUAGCCGACCUGAGAGGGUGAUCGGCCACCCUGGGACUGAGACACGGCCCAGACUCCUACGGGAGGCAGCAGUAGGGAAUCUUCGGCAAUAGGGGCAACCCUGACCGAGCAACGCCGCGUGAGUGAAGAAGGUUUUCGGAUCGUAGAGCUCUGUUGUAAGUCAAGAACGGGUGUGAGAGUGGAAAGUUCACACUGUGACGGUAGCUUACCAGAAAGGGACGGCUAACUACGUG
rnacentral:rRNA from 1 species